rnacentral:lncRNA from 1 species
CUCGUUUCAACCAUCUUGCCCAACUGCUUUUCGAGUGUGCAUCUCAUCCUGAGAAAGUGGGAAUCUAUGCACUAAUUUUAGGCAGACCUGCAUGUCCACAAAGCUGUCUUGGGCAAUCGCACUGGAAAAGCCUUGAAACUUGGCAGACCAUUUGGACUACAGAUUGGAAUAUAGUUGCAAAGAAAUAGAUUUACUGUGUCUGAAUGCAAAACCAAUCAAUUCAGAAUGACAAUUUCAUAUGGCUAGUGUCUACAUGGAAAGAAGAGAAGUUGACUAUGGCCUCAAGAUUUCGGGACACACACAGAGAUGCGCAGACUGCUUUCAGAUGGCAGAACUUGGGAUUAAAUGUUCUCCUUUGCAUCCUGAUGAGUGCAAAUUUAUUUUCCUUACUUUGAAAGACAUAUUAGAUCUGAGACAUUGCCAUAUUUAUAAUGACAUUUUAGGGUAUAUAGACCAUCUGAAAAGACUCCUUUGCAAUGAUCUUUCCAGCUGCUUCAGCUUCAGAAAAAAAAAAAAAGAUGAAUCACUUUACUAACAAGGGUAUUUUCUUAACAGCAUGGAUUGAGUGGAUGGGGUGGAGGGAGGUGGCAAUGAAAAAAAGAAACUUGAUUGCUUCUCUUUGAAAUAACUAUCUGAUUAAAACAACAGCAACAAUAACAACACCAACAAAGAGGAAAAUAUACUCUACCACCAAAAACCCCACAACAAUUUUCACUUUGGAUGGACCAUUUCCUUUGAAAUGAAAAGUAAAAAUGAAGCAGUUACACCAUGGGUGUCCCUAGCACAAGAUGUAUCCAACCUAUAACUUCUGAUUACUCAGAAAUUCACAGAAAGUAAAUCCAGAUAGGAUUAAGAAAGCCCCCAGGGACUAACAAGUGAGACAAUAUUUAUUUGUUUGUACCAAAUAGUUGACUGAAUAAUGAAUAACUAUUAGCUUAAAUUGCAAUAAACACAGUUAUUUAAGUGAGAUCUAACA